UCAAGUUUCCAUAUUUAAUCAGCUUAACAAGUGCACAUUCUCUGCUGCCAACAGUACCAAUUUGUCAUCCAAGCAACAAAUAUUCCUUAGUAGUCUGCUAUCAGAUGACAGUUAUCUCUUUGGCAUUUUUAUGAAUUAAAGCUUUCAAAGCCAAACUUCAGAUUUGCUUAGCAUAUUCCUGUACUACAUAUCAACAAAUGUUUGAUGGUUUGUCUGGUUCAUCUCUUAACACUAUGAAGAUGGCUACACUAAUCUUAACAAGCAAACAUUCUGUUGCCAACAGUACCAAUUUGUCAUCCUAUCCAAGCAACUACUAUUCCUUGGUAAUCUGCUAUCAGAUGAUUACAGUUUUCUCUUUGGCAUUUGUAUGAAUUAAAGCUUUCAAAGCCAAACCUUAGAUUUGGUUAGCAUAACCCUGAACUGCAUAUCAACAAAUGUCUAAUGGUCUGUCUGGUUCAUUUCUCAAGACUAUGAAGAUGGCUACACAGGUAUCAGCUCUCAGCAGUGCACCCCUAUGAUACACAAGUCUUCAUUGCCAAGUCACUCUGCCAAACAGUGUGUACACCUUUCUUGCAUUGGUAGUGACCCAAACAGUGUGUACACCUUUCUUGCAUUGGUAGUGACCCACUUUAUGUCAUGAGUCUGGAUAUGUCAGGCCAAGGAGAUCAAGUUUGUGUCCAAGGUUACUUAGUUAAUUCUCUAAGAACAAUAGACAGACUCUACAUGCUACUGAUCUGGAGGUUAGUGGCUCAAUCAUUGUGCACUGAUUCUUCACUGAUGCCUUAAUUCCCCACUGUCAACUUUAUUGUCAUAAAGUUUAUCUAGUGAUCUACAUAUCAAGACUAAAUGGUCAAUUAAACAUGAGGUCAAGGAAAAAGGAUGAACAUUUCAAGGCUACUGAAGGAACAUUAAACGUCUCUCUCACUGUGAAAAGAUUCUACCGAUCUACAAAUGAUCAACAUGUUUUAUCUUAAGUUCGUCUGCCAUUUCUUCAAAUGGAGCCAUAUUAAGAAUAAGGUUCAAAUGUAUCAGUUGUUUUUGUUGACAGAUAUCAAGUCAUUUCAGUUCUCAAUUAUUUUGUGCACCAAGUUACAAGAAAAAAUUUAAGCAAGAGAGGUCACUACACUAAGACUUUGUCUUCUCAUAAGAAAGGAUGGCUGCCUGGUCAUGUGAUAUGUGCACUGGACUGUGUAUGGUCAUCUUGAUGCUCAUAUCUUGCCUGAUGACAUUUAUUCUGCUGAACAUUUGGUCAAGGAAGUAGAUUCUCUUCAGCUCUCAAGAAACAUUCAAAACAUGUCUAACAUUCGACAAGAAUAUCAAGUGCAAUGUACAUACCAACAUGAUGAAAAGGUAGACAACAUGAAGAUGUAGACCAACAUGAUGAAGAUGUAGACCAACAUGAAGAGGUAGACCAGCAUGAUGAAGAUGUAGACCAACAUGAUGAAGAUGUAGACCAACAUGAAGAUGAAAUGUAAACCAAAAAAUGGGUCAAGAGAUGUAUGGAAUACAAUGUGAACAUCUUGAGAAGUAAAACAAUUCCUAGAGGCAAAGACACAGACACACCGGAUCUAUUAGAGAUUUUCCUUUUCUACCAUCAUUUAGAGACUUCCUUGUGCUCUAAGGGAACCUGUCAUUAUCUUUUGAUUGCUAAUUGGCAUUGAUGUUUUUACAUUCCUACUGCGUCUGAAAGAAAUUAACAUUUCCCUAAUGCUACUUCAAAACCAGACCUUCUCAAGACAAUUUUAGUGACCAAGCUGCAAUAUGGGACUCAGUAGGAAACAAUGAAGAAUGCUCCUAACCUCAGGUUGAGUAACCAUGCUCACCUACUAGAGUGGCGACAAAUACUUCUACACCCACAGUUAUACAUCCUGAACCCUGUAACCCAACCUCACAACAUGGUUACAUUACCGGAAGUGGUCGCAAGGUCAGAAAACCUAACAGAUACAAUGGAUAGAACAAUGAACAGGUACAAGUACUCAAGUGAUGUACUUUGUGAGAACUAUUUAGGUGGAAUCACCAUAAUUGACUUGUAUAAAUCUUGUUCUAUAUUUAGGUAUAUCUUGACAAUCAGUCCAGUCAUUUGUUCAUUUUUUUUUUAAAUAUUCCUUUUUUUUCCCUCAAUCUUCUUGUUGUUUCAGUUACAUGUUUUUGUAUUUUGAAGGAGGAAGGUGCUUUGGUAUAUUAUCGUUAUUAUUAUUGUACCAGUAUUAAGCAAACUUGUAUAUCUUUAAUUAUUCAUGAAUUCUAAAGCAGAACGUCACUUCCACCGGAAAAUGUUGUAACAACUAUACGUGUCUUCAGUUAACAUUCAAUACUCUGUACAGUCACAACGCCAAAGCCUUGCUAGAUUAUGCUUUUAAUUCAAUUUGUUAUCUCCCCUGCUUUAGUGUGCUAUCAUAUAAUUUUUUGUGUCACAUCCCUGCACAAUUUGUUCUAUGCUUUUUUACAGUAUAAAUAGCGACUUGACAUUAUUUAGCUCUAUUAUAAUAUUGUUAUAUUAUUAUAUUUAAAAUAAAACUGUUAACAUAUUCUAUGCUGUUAUAAUAUAAAUGUUUUGCUGUUACCAUGAAUACAGUUUUGAGUUUUUGUCUGAUUUCUUAGAGGAGAAAUUUUUCAUAAAUAAUAAUAAUAAGGCUUAUCUUCAAGUCCGAAGAUUAGUGAGAAGUAUGCAGUAUUCCCCAGCUAGGACCUACAUAUUUUGCUAUAAAUAAAGAGUAUAAUAAUAUUUACUACUUGGUAUUGUCAGUCUUCACUAAAGCAAUGAGUUUAUCCCCUUAGUGUGUUUAAAAUUUUCAAAUACUAAUUCACUUUGUAUUAUCUAUUGGUGAUCAUGGGGUAUCCACUUUGUCAUCUCCAUAGUCUCUGGUGUUAACACUCAGUGUCCUGUUGGAGGUUACGGCUAAGAUGUUAUCUCUCUUUCUGAUGGAACACAUGUAAAACCAACAAAACAAACAUUAGACCUAGACUUUAUUAACAGGUAAAUUUUUAUAAUUGUGAACUGGCGCUCCCAAAGCUACUUUUAUGUAUUUUAAAUUUUACUUCUGUAGGCCAGUGCUAAGCUGUAUACUUGUAUUUCUGCCUAUUGUAUGGGUUAGGGUGGAGUACUUAAAAUAGAGCCUAUGCUGUUUCCUGUACUGUUGACCAGUGGUCUCUGUGUCAGUUUUAAUUAUUCUGUACCUGGGACUGCCUGUAAGUUUCAGAAUUUUUCUUUUAUUUUUUAAAAUUUUACUAUGUGUAAAUCUGUUUUAUAUUUGAACAACUGUCAAAAUAACUAGCAGUUUUUUUUCUUCUAAAGUUUGUUUUAAAACUAUGGCCAAGCCCUGCCCAGUGCUGUCAUGAUGGCCACUUCUAAUGUUUAUGUACUAGAUUGUAACUGCUGCCUUAGUCAUUGAAAUUAAAGUCUCAUUUUUGAAUUUC